rnacentral:rRNA from 1 species
UACGUAGGGGGCAAGCGUUGUCCGGAUUUAUUGGGCGUAAAGAGCGUGUAGGCGGCCAGGUAGGUCCGUUGUGAAAACUCGAGGCUCAACCUCGAGACGUCGAUGGAAACCAUCUGGCUAGAGUCCGGAAGAGGAGAGUGGAAUUCCUGGUGUAGCGGUGAAAUGCGCAGAUAUCGGGAGGAACACCUAUGGCGAAGGCAGCUCGCUGGGACGUUACUGACGCUGAGACGCGAAAGCGUGGGGAGCAAACAGG